rnacentral:rRNA from 1 species
AACGAACGCUGGCGGCAUGCCUAACACAUGCAAGUCGAACGAAGCCUUCGGGCUUAGUGGCGCACGGGUGCGUAACGCGUGGGAAUCUGCCCUUAGGUACGGAAUAACUCAGAGAAAUUUGUGCUAAUACCGUAUGAUGUCGAGAGACCAAAGAUUUAUCGCCCAGGGAUGAGCCCGCGUAGGAUUAGGUAGUUGGUGGGGUAAUGGCCCACCAAGCCGACGAUCCUUAGCUGGUCUGAGAGGAUGAUCAGCCACACUGGGACUGAGACACGGCCCAGACUCCUACGGGAGGCAGCAGUGGGGAAUAUUGGACAAUGGGCGAAAGCCUGAUCCAGCAAUGCCGCGUGAGUGAUGAAGGCCUUAGGGUUGUAAAGCUCUUUUACCCGAGAUGAUAAUGACAGUAUCGGGAGAAUAAGCUCCGGCUAACUCCGUG